GCUUGCUCCCUGAGAUCAGCGGCGGACGGGUGAGUAACACGUGGGUAACCUGCCUGUAAGACUGGGAUAACUCCGGGAAACCGGGGCUAAUACCGGAUAACACCUACCCCCGCAUGGGGGAAGGUUGAAAGGUGGCUUCGGCUAUCACUUACAGAUGGACCCGCGGCGCAUUAGCUAGUUGGUGAGGUAAUGGCUCACCAAGGCGACGAUGCGUAGCCGACCUGAGAGGGUGAUCGGCCACACUGGGACUGAGACACGGCCCAGACUCCUACGGGAGGCAGCAGUAGGGAAUCUUCCGCAAUGGACGAAAGUCUGACGGAGCAACGCCGCGUGAGUGAAGAAGGUUUUCGGAUCGUAAAACUCUGUUGUUAGGGAAGAACAAGUGCCGUUCGAAUAGGGCGGCGCCUUGACGGUACCUAACCAGAAAGCCACGGCUAACUACGUGCCAGCAGCCGCGGUAAUACGUAGGUGGCAAGCGUUGUCCGGAAUUAUUGGGCGUAAAGCGCGCGCAGGUGGUUUCUUAAGUCUGAUGUGAAAGCCCACGGCUCAACCGUGGAGGGUCAUUGGAAACUGGGGAACUUGAGUGCAGAAGAGGAAAGUGGAAUUCCAAGUGUAGCGGUGAAAUGCGUAGAUAUUUGGAGGAACACCAGUGGCGAAGGCGACUUUCUGGUCUGUAACUGACACUG
rnacentral:rRNA from 1 species